rnacentral:misc_RNA from 1 species
AAGUCGUAACAAGGUCUCCGUUGGUGAACCAGCGGAGGGAUCAUUACCGAGUUUACAACUCCCAAACCCCUGUGAACAUACCUAUACGUUGCCUCGGCGGAUCAGCCCGCGCCCCGUAAAAAGGGACGGCCCGCCCGAGGACCCCUAAACUCUGCUUUUAGUGGAACUUCUGAGUAAAACAAACAAAUAAAUCAAAACUUUCAACAACGGAUCUCUUGGUUCUG